rnacentral:lncRNA from 1 species
CACUGUUCCUCUUUCCUUCGUAACAGUUGUCAGUUAUCACUGUCCCAGUUUCACGUUUCUUUGAUUAUUUGCCCAAAUCAGGCCUUCCUCAAGAAGGAAAGGAAUUAUUCCUGUCUUUAUUCCCCAUGGCAGCCUGAGGGUUUCCCUGGCUCAGUGCUGGGCACAGUCAGUACUUAAGAAACUGAUGCUAAACAAACAAUGCCAGCCCCUGUGCUUGGCCUUAGGUGUACGAUGAUGAAGAAAGUUCCAGAAAGUGAAGGGAGUUGAUGGGGGAGGAAAGCCAGGGGCAAAAGUAGAAGGAAGGAGCUGCUCCUGUCCUGCUUCCCAGACCAAGGUGGAGCCUUUUCAAGAACGGCACAUGCCCUCACAGCCGUCACCUUUCAGUCUUUGUGUCCGAAAAGGCAGCAACCAAGAACAGGCACUUACCUCUGAGGAGCUGGGAUCCAUUUCCAGGAUGCACACUGAACCAACUGCCCUCAGAUAUCAAAAAGACGAAAAUACAGUCUGUCAGUGCCAGAGGUUUCGCAGCCUUCUUACUGCUUUUGAACUCAAAACAUAGCUUUUAUCCAUGUCUUGAUCGCCUACGUCGUCGGCUUGCAGUUGUGCUGGGGGCUAUAAAGAACUGUCAAGCCGAUGCUUCAUGAUGUCCACACCGCUGACCCUUGUCUGUUCCCACUCGGGCCUCACAUCACUCUUUGAAACUGCCUCCAACACACUGGGUCAACUGGGUGACCUCUCCAUUGUUGUUCUUUACUGCUUCUUUCUCAUAAAAGUUUGAACUAGCCAACUUAAAAUAUUCAGAAACUUCUGAAGUCAAUGGGACUUUAUGCCAAAACCUGUUGUUGGGCAGAAAUGAAGUUCUUGAAAAAAUGACAUUCAAUUCCACUCCUGACACAGACAACACUAACCACCACCAUAGAUUCACGAUGGCUAACAGAGAAGUGCUGCCUCAUCCCAGCUGCAACUCCCUAGUCCAGUACACCUUGUUUGGCUAAAGCUUUCUUAAUUUGAGUGGGACUGAUUCAAUUGCUGGAAAGCAUAAUGGAGGCGGGUCAGGUUUCUUCCCUAGCAAAAUAAAUCUUCUCUAAAUCUUCCUUGGUUAAAUCCACUCUUCAUAAAAUAAAGCAGCUAUUGCAUCCCUCCGUAUGAGUUCGACAAGAUAACCAGCUGUACGUAUUUCAUUCAUCAGCCUCGGAACCACAGCUCACAAAAAGCCUCAUCUAUCGCCCAUGAAACAAAGCGAAGGAAAAUGAAGAAUAUACACAAGCGUAAGCAUAGGGAUUUUUCAGCAUCCCCGUUUCCAUCGGUGCACGAAC